UAAAUACUUCCUCCGUCCUAAAAUUCUUGUCUUAAAUUUGUCUAAAUACGGAUGUAUCAAAUCACAUUUUAGUAUUAGAUACAUCCAUAUCUAUACAAAUCUAAGACAAGAAUUUUGGGACGGAGAGAGUACUUA
rnacentral:pre_miRNA from 1 species